GUCUACGUAGCUUAAAUCAACCCAAAGCAAGACACUGAAAAUGCCUAGAUGGACCUGCACAUCCCAUAGACA
rnacentral:tRNA from 1 species